CGUAGGGUGCGAGCGUUAAUCGGAAUUACUGGGCGUAAAGCGUGCGCAGGCGGUUUUGUAAGACAGAUGUGAAAUCCCCGGGCUCAACCUGGGACCUGCAUUUGUGACUGCAAGGCUAGAGUACGGUAGAGGGGGAUGGAAUUCCGCGUGUAGCAGUGAAAUGCGUAGAUAUGCGGAGGAACACCGAUGGCGAAGGCAAUCCCCUGGACCUGUACUGACGCUCAUGCACGAAAGCGUGGGGAGCAAACAGGAUUAGAUACCCUGGUAGUCCACGCCCUAAACGAUGUCAACUGGUUGUUGGGUCUUUACUGACUCAGUAACGAAGCUAACGCGUGAAGUUGACCGCCUGGGGAUACGGCCGCAAGGUUG
rnacentral:rRNA from 1 species